UCUGCUGCUCCUCUCUUCCUCUUCCUGUCUUCCCCUUCCAGAUCCCCUUCUCUCAUUUUAUUUUGCUGGUGAGUCUUGGGCUCCAUCGAUUCUGCCGGUCGGGUUCUUCGCUGCCUCCUCCUGCCUAGGUGUCCCUUUCUUUCUCGCCUAAUCCUCUCUAUCCUCUCUCUCUCUCUGCUGCCUAUUCUCUCUCGGUCUCAUCCCUCCUAGAUCCCGUCCACACCUGCUAGUUCCAGCCUGAUUCAGGCUGUCGCUGGCCCUCCUGGCCGGAGCCGGUUUCUCCUCCCCCCUCCUCCAUAUCAUCUCUCCGAUUGUUGUCCCCUUACCCUGCUUUUCUCCUUGUUCGAGUAGUUGCACCCUUCCUCUUUUGUGGCACAAUGCUGCCAUCUGUUUUCUUCUUGACUUCUCUUGGUGUAGAAGCUCCUCGCACCGGUGGCAUCUCACUAUCAGAUGACGUUCAGGUUCAAGGUGAGUAUAAAGCUACUAGUGCUCUUAAUACUCUGCAUCUCACGCAAGUUCUACUAGGAGAAACUACGGACGUCAAUCGGGCAACAGCGCAUGGCCCGAACGCUCCUCUGGCGCCAUGAGGGCCAUUGCUUGGAAUUGCUGAGUUCCCUCUAGAGGUGCUUCGGGAGGUCUCUGGCUUAUGUGGACUGAUGAUCUAAAUAUUACUGUUCAUAGUGCUACCUUCCGCUAUAUAUUAGCUAAUGUAGUUCAUCCUGCUUCUGGGGUCCAAUUUUGUUUGAUUUGUAUUUACGGUGACCCGUACCAUAGGCAAACUAGUCCAUUUGGAGUCAGAUCUCCUCUUUUGUGUAUGAUAAUCUAGGUAUGCCCAUGAUGUGUAUGGGUGAUCUUAAUGACAUCUUGUAUGAUACGGAUGGUUGUAAUGGUAAUGUGAAUUACUUUCGUAUAUGAAAGCUUUUCGGUCCAUUGUUAAAAAUUGUGUUUUUUUGACAUAGGUUUUAGUGGUCCGGCGUACACUUGGCGAGGUAACCAACACACUUAUAAACCUAUUUACCGUCGUCUUGAUCGUUCUUUGGUUAAUGCCUAGUAGUGCAUGUGUUACCCUAAUACUAAAAUCCUCAAUUUGCCUAUUAUUCUCAGUGAUCAUACUUCCAUUUUAGUGUCUACAGAGGGAAAUUUUGUUAAGCCUAAGCAAGCUUUCAAAAUUGAAAAUUGGUGGUUGAUGGAAAAGGACUUUGCCAAUUUUGCUAAAUCGGCUUGGAACAAUUGUUCUCUAACCUCUUUUGCAGCCAAGACUUCUUCUUUGGCAGGUUCUCUCAAAGUGUGGUGCACGAAAAAAAAGUCUACAAUCGGAACUUUUGGAGCUAAAAGGGAAGAUUAAUCAGCUACAACAACUCCCAUCACAACAGCAGGACCAUGCAUUGGAGGCUGCUCUCACUGUCAGUUGCAGGAAUGGGCUUCUUCAGGUGCAAGGAGACCUGUUGGUAAAUCUGCAAGCUAAGCCAACGAUUUUGGAGCUUGGCUGGACUAUCUCUAUGUUCUGCGUUCUCUAUCUUCUUCAGAACUUGAUGCAAGCUAUUGGAGCCCAAUUUUCUCUCUGAAGCUUUUGGUCCAGCUGCUCUUUGUGUUGUUUCCAUGGUGUAUCUAUGCUCUUUGCGUAGGAGAAGGGCAGUUCAUGUCAUCUUCUUCUUUAGGCCGCCUUGUCCUGUUUAGUCAUGUGGUUCAUCAGUAGGGAUUCUGCUCCCUUGCUAUCUUCUCCAACUUCUAUUCAGCUCUUCUUUCUCAGAUUCUGCAGUCUCCUUUUCUCUUUCUUCCAAGCAGUUUCUGUAAUCAUGAUGUACAUUGAAUUUGAGUUGAAUAUAUUGGCACCUGUUGGUGCAUUUCUUUGUUUAAAAAAAAACUCUCUUGGAUCAAAAUUCAAAUAAAACAAAUGAAGGC